GACGAGUCUGACGAACGUUAUUCGGAAUUACUGGGCUUAAAGGGUGCGUAGGCGGUGGAGUAAGUCGGAUGUGAAAUACCUUAGCUCAACUAAGGAACUGCACUCGAUACUACUUUGCUAGAGUAAGACAGAGGUGAGUGGAACUGAGGGUGGAGCGGUGAAAUGCGUUGAUAUCCUCAGGAACACCGGUGGCGAAGGCGACUCACUGGGCUUUACUGACGCUGAUGCACGAAAGCUAGGGUAGCAAACGGG
rnacentral:rRNA from 1 species